UAAGGGCUGAACCAGCAACUUGGAAGAAUAGGAAUUAGUAAGAUCCGUGUAAUUCUAAAUAGAAUAAAGAUAAUGACAAUUUUCUAUUUAUAAGUCUUGACCAAAUUACGUGCCAGCAGUCGCGGUAAUACGUAGAAGACUAGUGUUAGUCAUCUUUAUUAGGUUUAAAGGGUACCUAGACGGUAAAUUAAACCUGUUAAGGGAAUUUUUUUACUAGAGUUUUAUAGGAGAAGGUAGAAUUCUUGGAGUAGGGAUAAAAUAUUUUAAUACCAAGGAGACAGGUAACGGCGAAGGCGGCCUUCUAUGUAAAAACUGACGUUGAGGGACGAAGGCUUGGGUAUCGAGAAGGAUUAGAUACCCUAGUAGUCCAAGCAGAAAAUUAUGAAUGCCAUAAGCUAGAUAUUAUUUAGCAUAUAAAUGAAAGUGUAAGCAUUCCACCUCAAGAGUAAGAUGGCAACAUUGAAACUGAAAUCAUUAGACCGUUUCUGAAACCAGUAGUGAAGU
rnacentral:rRNA from 1 species